rnacentral:lncRNA from 1 species
UUUAACUUUGGGCCGGAUCACCCGACCCGACCCGUUAGUUUGUAACCUGUAUAUAGUGUAGGUGAGAUAUUUUCUCACCUACCGGACUUAAUUUUCAUUCUAUUUUCUCUGUAAUAAACUCUCUCUCUAUUCUAGAGAGUUCCAAACUCUCCUCCUUCUCUCUAGUUUCUCUCUCUACAUUUUCCAUGAUUUCUCGGUAUAAUAUUAAUGUUUUCAUGGUAUCAAAGCCUAGACGACGAUCCGACUGUGUUUAUCUGUAUCUCGUUGUCUUGGAUGAAGUCUGUUUCAAGAUUUUUUGGGGGUGUUUCUGAGACCUUAUGGUCGAGGAUGAUUCCGACCUAAAUCGGAUGCUUUUCUGAGAUUUUCUUCGUGAUAUUUGAGUAUAUCUUGUAUGUGGUCGAUGACGAUUCCGAUCUAAAUCGGAUACUUUUCUGAGACUUUCACCGAGAUAUCUGAGUAUAUCUUCUUCACUUGAACGAUUUGGGAGAUUUUCCGAUGAUUUUUGGGUGAUUUUUCG